CAAUAUGUUUAGUUCGUGAUCGGAAUAGAAUUUGAAUAUUAAAGAAGAAUAAAAUUUUAAUUUUAUGACAUAAAAUAUUUUCAUUUAUCUUUGUAUGAAAUUUUUUUAAUUUAAUAAUUAAAAAUCGAGUCAUCUAUUUUUGUUUCUAUCGGAGAUGGGUCCAGAAAUUUUACUUUAUGGGGUCAAUAUAAUAAAAAAAUAAAAAAGCUACAAAAAAAGAAAAAAAUAAUAAUAAAAUAUUAUUUUUUAAAAAAUAAUAAAAUAUAUAUCUAAAUAAUAAUAUACAAUAUCUUAAAUAUCUUUUAUAAUAAAAAAUAAAUUGAUGUGAUCUUUUUUAAGAUAUAAAAAAUAAAUUGAUGUAGGAUUUAAAUAUUAGAGGUAGAUAGAUGGGAUUAGGGUGAGGUAUUAAAGUAAAUAAAAAAAUAAUUAAUAAAAAAAAAGAAAAGAGAAGAAGAGAUGUUAAAGUAG
rnacentral:lncRNA from 1 species